GAUGAAGAACGUAGCGAAAUGCGAUAAGUAAUGUGAAUUGCAGAAUUCAGUGAAUCAUCGAAUCUUUGAACGCACCUUGCACCCUUUGGCAUUCCGAAGGGUAUGCUCGUUUGAGUGUCAUUGUACUCUCACACUUCCGAUCUUUGGAUUGGGAGCGGUGGACUUGGGUGUUGCUGCUUACUGUGGCUCACCUCAAAUCGAUUCGUGCACCUCUUGGUUGGACAUAGUACGGCGUGAUAAGUGUUUUCGCCGGCACCUCAGUAGAGGGUGGCUGAUCGGGAGCUCUGCUUCAAACCGUCCUCGGACAACAACUGACAACUUGACCUCAAAUCGAGUAGGACUACCCGCUGAACUUAAGCAUAUCAAUAAGCGGAGGA
rnacentral:misc_RNA from 1 species